CCCUCAAAAGAGCAAAAGUAGAAUUAGACUUUCACCAUUGUUAUCACCAUCAUCACCAUACACCAUUCAUUCGCCACACAUGCACAUCUUGAUUUGACUUAUUGACUUGUUUCUCUGAAUCCAUGGUUUGACUAUGCAAUAAAUGUCUUGUAAGUAUGUAUACUUUAUCUCCCACCUAUGAGCUCCAGAUAUCAAAGCCUUAUUAGAGUAGGAUGAGAGAGAAGGCAAUGUCACUAUGCCUUAUACUACAAAUACCACAUACUUUGAGAGAAGGCAUAUACCAUCAUUGCCGCCUUGGU
rnacentral:lncRNA from 1 species